GUAAUACUCCAUAGUUCGUGAGUACUGGAAUGUCUUUCGAACGAAAGAUCCGUCGCUUCAGGAUGAGUCUGCGGCUGAUUAGGUAGUUGUUGUGGUAACGGCCCAACAAGCCUAUGAUCGGUACGGGUUGUGGGAGCAAGAGCCCGGAGAUGGAUUCUGAGACACGAAUCCAGGCCCUACGGGGCGCAGCAGGCGCGAAAACUUUACCAUACGGGCAACCGUGAUAAGGAAACCCCGAGUGCCAGCAUAGGCUGGCUGUCCGCCAGUUUAAAAAACUGGUGAAGAAAGGGCCGGGCAAGACCGGUGCCAGCCGCCGCGGUAAUACCGGCGGCUCGAGUGGUGGCCACUAUUACUGGGCUUAAAGGGUCCGUAGCUUGAUAUGCAAGUCUUUUGAGAAAUCCGCCAGCUUAACUGGCGGGCGUUCAGGGGAAACUGCAUUUCUUGGGACCGGGAGAGGUGAGAGGUACUGCCGGGGUAGGAGUGAAAUCCUGUAAUCCCGGUGGGACCACCUAUAGCGAAGGCAUCUCACCAGAACGGGUCCGACAGUGAGGGACGAAAGCUGGGGGAGCAAACCGGAUUAGAUACCCGGGUAGUCCCAGCUGUAAACGAUGCGCGUUAGGUGU
rnacentral:rRNA from 1 species